GUGGGUUGCCAUUCCCUUCUCCAGGGGACCUUCCUGACCCAGGGAUUGAAACCGAGUCACCUGCAUUGGUAGGUGGAUUCUUUAUCAACUGAGCCACCAGGGAAGUCCAGAUAAUAUCUUUACUGUAGCUGUAAAACUUGACUGUGGUCAUGCAGACCACACCCUGGAUAAGUUUAUGAAGAUUGAAAAUGAUGAACAUAGACUGACAGAGACUUGGAAAGGACUUUGAACGACUACUAAGGUUACUCCUCCAGAAGCAUCACAAAGCAGGACAUGGAGCUCACUGUGACCUGGGGAGACAGGCUAUGACUGCAGUUAUGAAACUGACUCGUGCUCAAAGUUCAGAUGCCUUACAGGGACGCUACUUAUAGAAAGAGAAAGGAACAUUCUGUCUACUUCUGCUUCUGCAGGAGGCGAGAUCUUACCUAGACAAGAGUUUGAAGAUGGGAAGUGUAACCGGAUAGGUCUCAGACCAAGGUCAUGACCUCCACUCCUAGGAACUCAGAUCACUGAACUCAUUUGGCCUGGUAGCACCCUAGUGAAAUCAAAGACGCUGAGCAUACCACUAUAAUCCCACCCUCUAGCAGAGUAUGGAUGCUUAACUGAUGCUCAAUUAUUUAUAAACAGUGAAGGAAUACAGUCAGUUUUGUUGACUUUUCUUCCAAGCUCCUUGUUAAGCCCUUGGAUCCCUGCCAGAAGGGAGAUGAUGGUUGCAAAAGCAAAGACUGGCAUUUGGAGAAGCUCUCUGGGACGUCGAAGCUGCACACUGCCCCUCCUCCUGCCUUCCAAUUACUGUGUAUGAAAGUGAAUUUCGAAAAUCCAGAUUUGAUCAUGUUACACACAAAUUCCCACAGGUCUACACCGUCUGGCUCCUGUGCGUUUCAUCUAGGCAUGUGAAGAAGAGGCAAGAUAUGAAGAGGUAACUGUGGACAGUGCAUUUUCUCUCCCAGCGUUCAGUCAUUCAUAGUCCAAUUCUGGGAGUGAGGGCAGCUCAUUAAAAUAUUGUAUCACUUGAUAAGAAAAACAGUUGUAUUAAUAGCUAAUACUACUGUUAAAAAUCUGUGUUGCAUUAGUAGCCUUUCAAAACUUGCCAUUGAUGGAGUAUCAGUUCUACAGUAUUCAAAAAGCUAAGAAAAGCAUUUAUUCCAUAGAAACAAUUUCAUAAAAACCUCUCAGCUGUUUAAUACAUCUAGAGAAUCCUUUAAAGAAUCUGGCUGCAAAGCACAACAGGAAAUGUGAGGAAGUAAAUUUUCAGAUGCUUCAGCAGUUCUAGAGUUUUA
rnacentral:lncRNA from 1 species